GUCCCAGAUCUUGGGAUUGUGAUGAAGAUGAGGAAAGACGAUGUAAGCUUGCACAUGAUCAUGGUCAGGCAAGGGGAUGGUUUCUUGGAUGGACAUCAAAGCCGAGACAGAGAUCUCGUUGUUAAGGAACAAGAAGGAAGGAACAGCAACUGGAAUUGGGAAGAGGACUUGUGAUUUACCCUGGGUUCAAGAAAGGCAGAUGGAUAGAACCAAUUGUUACCGUGGACUUAUAGACAAGGAGAAAUAUCCAGAAUUGAGGAAACAGAAUGAGUAAGUCCCACUUUUUUAAUCAAUUUUUAGUAUUUAUCAUUGAAAACUUGUAGAGAGUUAUAUAUAUAUAUAUGUUGUUUGUACACAUAAGUUGAUUCCUA
rnacentral:misc_RNA from 1 species